AUGGCUGUCGUCAGCUCGUGUCGUGAGAUGUGGUUAAGUCCGCAACGAGCGCAACCCUUGUCAUUAGUUGCUACAUUCAGUUGGGCACUCUAAUGAGACUGCCGGUGACAAGCCGGAGGAAGGUGGGGAUGACGUCAAGUCCUCAUGGCCCUUAUAGGUGGGGCUACACACGUCAUACAAUGGCUGGUACAAAGGGUUGCCAACCCGCGAGGGGGAGCCAAUCCCAUAAAGCCAGUCGUAGUCCGGAUCGUAGUCUGCAACUCGACUACGUGAAGUCGGAAUCGCUAGUAAUGGCAGAUCAGCAUGCUGCCGUGAAUACGUUCCCGGGUCUU
rnacentral:rRNA from 1 species